AAGGAGAGUAAUAAUUUAAUGUAUAUUUUACAAAUUUCGAAGGCGUGUCAGAGAUAUUUUCUCACCCUAAUCAUGAAUAGUGAUGGCAAUGUAUAGGUAUCCGGCUGCAUUUAAUGGGCUUUGGGUUAAGGUGUAUUGAUGUAUAGACGUACGUAUCUAUCCCCAAUUUGGCUAUAAAUUGAGACUGCCAUCUUCACCAACGCACUAAGAAAAGCAAACAGCCUUUUCCGCUUUGUCUGGGAGAUUCCGGAUACGUUUCUGUGAAAACAGGUUUGAAGAUGGGAACAUUUGUUCGGAUUGUUCAAGGUGUUUGGGAAAAGACGCCUACCGGGGAGUGGAGGUUUGAUGAAAAUCCAGCUGCUGAACAAGAUACUCUUUUAAUCCACCCCCACGACUCAUUUGAAGGCUUGGUGGAGAUGAUUCGUAUAAGGCUCGAUCUUGGGGUUCUUACUCCAGUCGCCUUAACAUAUCAGCUCCCCGAGUGGAUGCUCCUUCCUGAGGGUCCAAAGACACCACCGGUUACUUUGUCUACCGAUAGAGAUAUCGAGGUUAUGUUGAGUGAGGGAGUAUAUGACACAACCGGUGAUGUAUGUGACUAGCGGACCUGAGCUAGUUGCUAAGUACCACUUUCUUUGUCGAACCCCAUUCAAAAUUGGUGACCAAAGUUUCCUAGGAGAGGGGAUAACUGAAGAACAGCAUCACCAAGCAAUAAGAGACCUCGUUGGAGGACAGCCGAUCGUCUGUAGGCAAUCUAUGUUGGAGUUGUUGUUCAAUGAACCUCAGCUACUCAUCGUCUAUCGUGUUGCUCUUGAGAUAGAUAUGGUUUAUGCGCCAACUCCUGAGGAAAGGGCUGCAUUUCAACGUUUGACUGUUGAUGAUAUGAUCGCCAUACAGGAUGGUGAAACCAUCUACAUUGACGAGGGAAGGAACAAUGCACCAACAGAAGAAGUUUUACAUGGUGAACCGAUGGAUGUUGAUAACCUCCACCGUGCUUUUCCCAAUAUAACACCUCGGAAUGUACAAGGCCAUGGAAUUCCCCUGGAGGUUUAACCUCUUAACCAAAUCCCAAGAUUACCUCCUAUAGGAAGAGGUGACAGAGGAACAGUUUGAUGCAAAUGGAAUAUCGGAAACGCAGCAGAACUAUGAAGUGAAUGUGACGCCUGCCCCUCGUCCAACAAACGGUGCGUUAGGCCUUCCCAUUGGUCCAAAUCUCAGGGUCAAUGCACCAACAACACCAACGAGUGUUCUAGUUGUUCAUGAUGAUGAGGCAUCUUACACCGGUUCGUCAGACGGUUUAAACAACGGUAACAAUAACCGUGGGUUAGCUCCACUGAUACCAAUGCGGGAAAGCGUCAUUAACAUCUCCCAAGCACUGGAGCAAGGAGAGGAUGCUGUGCCAAUACAGAACCGUAGUUCAGCACCGUUAACCCAACAGGGCGAUGGUGGAACACGUACUGCGACACGUAACUAUGGCGAUCCAUGUCUCGAUCUCACACUUGGGAUUGGAAUGAAUAACGAUACUGCAACCGAAGCUAUCAUUGAAAUAGAGGACUCGGACUCUGAGGCCGACGGGGACAGUGGUGGGUUUGGGCCUGAUCCCUUCUUUUAAAAUCCUACAAAUAAAUAAGUUGUCUGAAGCUUUGUAAAAUAGCUGUAGUGGGUGAUCCCUAUUUUGGUUUAAUCGUCAACGAACGAUGCAAUGUCUAAUAUCUGCCACAUUUUGUAAUGUAAAAUAUGAAUGUUAAAUAUGUUUGAUAUUUUCGUACCUUACCACCACUAAUUUGCGAAACACACACAAACUUUGUAGGAAACCAAACAGUUGCACUGGACGAUCUAUACGAAGGAAUGGUGUUUAAAAAUAAGGGACACUUCAAACAACAUAUGACAGUUUAUGCUUUGCGAAAGAAAUUCACGUUCAGGAACACACGCUCUUCACCGGAAGGAAUGGUGAUGGAAUGCAUAAGUGGAACACGCCAGUGGCGAGUCUAUGCUACGAAGAUGAAAACUCUGGACAAGUUUGAAGUCAGAAAAGCACAAUUACAACACACCUGUUCCGUAGAUGAUCGCGUUGGUAAAUUUAAAGAUAACCUUAUCAAACAUUGAACUUUAUUCUGUACAUGAAUAAUCUAGUUCGAAUAUAGAAUUACGUUAAAGAAAGGGGGUGAAGUCUUAACUUGUUUUAAAAAACUAUGGUAUUUUUACCUAAUAAACCAUUAAUGUUAGAGAACCUAGUUGAAAAUAACGUUAUUAGAUUACCAUAAUUUAUAGUUAUAACCGGAUAUAGUGUAACUAUAUCCGAAAAUUGUAAUAGGUUGGUUCAUGCUUCUAUAUAUAUAAACAGAAAGUUUGAAUAAACCGAAAUUUUAUUUUAGUGUACCCAAAUUUGUCUACGUUACCCUAACUACUAUAUUGUUCUUUUCAAUCUGCUGCACUUUACUCCCUCUUUCUUCUGUCACUUAAGCUGUUAUCACUAUUACUACUUAUGUUCGAUUAACUUACUUUGUUUUGGUUAUUUUAUGAGUUAACGUCAAGUUAACUCACGCAAGUCAUAUUACCCCCUCCUAUAACUACAUUUUCCUUGUUAAAAAACCUGAAAAACGCUUUGUAAUUUAUAACCAGCUUGGCAUUCUUAUUUAUAUUACAAACUCGGGCUUAGUACAAUCCUGCCUCCAUCCAUUCUUACAACAUAUUUUACAUCAUUUAUAUAGUUAGAUUCAUGCUUUCCAGCAUUCCGCCUUGCUUUUCAAACACCAUCAUCAUCUGAGAUUUGCCAAACAUGUUUAAACUUCAUAACCUUCUUAUAUGGCAACUUUGCAUGUAGCUCG